AAAGAGGAACAACAACUCAUUCAGUAUGUUCGCCAUCUUUUUUAAUCACUUUCUGGCAUUAGAGAUUCCAUCCUUAUUAAUUUGUUUGUUUUGGUACUUACCAAUGAAUCUCAUUGCAUCAAAAUCUGUGAUACUCCUAAAUGAUUUUAUAGUUACACUCUCUCGUUAUAGCAACCUAGCAAAUUAACCAGCAUACAUUAAACAUGCCACAACUCGUGUCUGAUGGAACUUGCAGGAAUUCUCCUAUAGAAAAGGCG
rnacentral:misc_RNA from 1 species